rnacentral:rRNA from 1 species
UGGGGAAUCUUGGACAAUGGGGGCAACCCUGAUCCAGCGAUGCCGCGUGAGUGAAGAAGGCCUUAGGGUUGUAAAGCUCUUUCACCCGUGAAGAUAAUGACGGUAGCGGGAGAAGAAGCCCCGGCUAACUCCGUGCCAGCAGCCGCGGUAAGACGGAGGGGGCUAGCGUUGUUCGGAAUGACUGGGCGUAAAGGGCGCGUAGGUGGUUUUUCAAGUCAGGCGUGAAAGCCCCGGGCUUAACCUGGGAACUGCGCUUGAUACUGGAUGACUAGAGGACGAGAGAGGAAAGUGGAAUUCCGAGUGUAGAGGUGAAAUUCGUAGAUAUUCGGAGGAACAUCAGAGGCGAAGGCGGCUUUCUGGCUCGUAUCUGACGCUGAGGCGCGAAAGCGUGGGGAGCAAA